CACACACACACACACACACACACACACACACACACACACACACACACACACUCACUCCCCGUCUCCUCUCCUCUGGCUCUCCUCUCCAAAUGGAUUUUUCAUGCAGAGUUAUCAUUAUCAUUAAUUUAGCAGACAGGUUCACUUCAGAGCGAUUGAAGACACAAGAAGCAGGAGGACAGAGGAGGACGUUCCCACGCUGCCGAGUCUACGGACCAUCAGCUGGAAGACAUCAGUCCGUCUCUCUGGCUGCAACUGAGGAAACUGCUUCUACACAAG
ensembl:lncRNA